UACGUAGGGAGCAAGCGUUGUCCGGAUUUAUUGGGCGUAAAGAGCUCGUAGGCGGCUUAGCAAGUCAGGUGUGAAACCUCCAGCUUAACCUGGAGACGCCACUUGAUACUGCUAUGGCUUGAGUUUGGUAGGGGAAGACGGAAUUCCUGGUGUAGCGGUGGAAUGCGUAGAGAUCCGGAAGAACACCGGUGGCGAAGGCGGUCUGCUGGGGUCGAACUGACGCUGAGGCGCGACAGCGU
rnacentral:rRNA from 1 species